UGACUGUUACUGAUUGCUAUGGUAACCAACUGACUGUUCAUCACUUGAAUGUUUCUCUGCCACCAUCAUGGCUUCAUGAAGAUCUUUUGUUAGCUCUUUGAUGAACUGUGGGAAUGAGUCUUCACUGUUGUCUCUCAGAGCAGAUUUGAACAGGACGUCAACAGGGAGGCGGGGAACUCAGCCGAACAUUAGAUAAAAAGGGAUCCAUCCAUCACCCCACAGGGGAGUCACCACUCUGCCAACAAGAACAUUUCUUGGAAUACAAUGAGACUGUGUUGGCUCCACAAUCACAGUGCAGCCUGGGGCCCCACGUGACUUCUCCGGGAGCUUUCCCCAAACCAAGUGUUCAUGUCCAGGCAACAGUGUCACAGCACUGCCAAUCAUACCUCAAGGCUUCGCUUUAAAAGACCUUCAUACACAGAAUCACCUGCACUUCAGCUGAGCUUCGACCCUCCUCCACCCCAUCUCCACCAUCAGGCUUCAAGCUCCUUCCGACUCCCUUAUCUCUUCAGGCCUCCACUCCACCAUCAGUAUCAGGUUCUGGGGGGAAGACUUCUCAAAUUCUAACCCUAAGAUGUUCAUUCAAGCUCAUGUCAUUAUCAGCAUCCAUGUCUUCAUCGAGGUCCGAGCGCCAAAGAAAACAAACAUCAGGCUUUUGAAGAUGUGAGGAAGAUACUGUGUAGUUCACCUGUCAUGUUGGCCCCUGAUAUAAAGCUCCUAAUUGGUGCUGAUUGGAACUGGUGGCAGCUGGCCAGUGUUUCCAGAGGAGUUUGAGAUCCACCACUUCCUGGAACACAGUCUUUCUCCUCCUUGCUUUCUCUAGGCCCUCUUCCUGUCCCUACUUUUGAUCCUCCAGCCAGACAGGUUUUUUGUUAAAUAAACUUAC